rnacentral:lncRNA from 1 species
AAGUAACCCAAUACCAAAAAUCACUUUCUACUUAAUGCUGAUGCUGAUGAAAAAUGUCUAUCUAGACAGAGGAUAAGAAAGAAAAUGGAGGCUAAGUGACAAAGGAACUCUACUGCGAGAGAGAUCAAUGGAGAAGAAGGGAGCCUGUGUGUGUACUUCAUCUGUGGACACAGCAUGGUGUUUUGGGCUAGUCAGAGAGCCUCAAGAUCAAGCUGUGGACUGCUGCUCUUGUGCAACCAGUUUACCACCAGCCAGUUUACCAUGCUGACAAAAACUGCUAACUGGAACCCCAGCACCACAUUUCCCCAAGUGAAUUAUGCCAGCCAUGGAGAGAGAAUGGAAAAAUGGUCAUCUCAUCAUUCUGCUCGCCUGUCAAGGAGAUGUGGAAAUGUGCUGGCAUUCCAGCUGAAGACAUCAUUAUGAGUGAGAAAAUGCUCAAGGUCCUUUUUCAAAGUGGGUGCCGAAAGAGAUGCUUUCCUUCUUUGACUUCGGGGAAGGCUGAGAGCUGCCCCAGAAGACAGGCAUUGAGAGGUCAGAGGCUAGCAAAGCUGACUGUGUGUGAGCACAUGUGUUUGAAUGUGUGCACACACAUACACAUGCAUUUGUCUUCAAGGUUUUUCUGGAUGAUGGCUAAAGUAAAUAAUCUUUUUUUUCCAAUAAAGGAUGCACAACAAAAGAAGAUGAUGAAGAUGAUGAAGAAAUCUAUAACAAAGGACAAUCAGCCUGCAGUGAGAGAAAUGAUUUUAAUAUCUGACAGGUUUUGUUUCCUAAUCUUUGCUAUUCAUAUUGACGGGUAG